AAUUCUCAACCCUUCUUACUUUGUUGUUAAGGAUGGGAUUGGAUGGUGGAGGCUUGCUGGAUGUUCAACGUUCAGCUCCUCUGAAAUGCAUUAGCGGUACAACCAUUUACUUGAGCUUACGCUAAGCUGUGAUAAUAUCUAAGCUAGCUGGUUCAGAGUGUUGGCAGAGUUCGGGUUUUUGAAGGGUUUUGCUUCGCGGCUCCCUUUGUGUUCUCUCUCUUAGGGGAGGGAUACCUAUGCGACUCUGUGAAAAAGUGUUGUUGCGGCUUCCAACCGUCUCUUGAAACUGGGACAAACGUUUUAAACUGAUU
rnacentral:misc_RNA from 1 species